rnacentral:rRNA from 1 species
GGGGAAUAUUGCGCAAUGGGGGCAACCCUGACGCAGCGACGCCGUGUGAGGGAAGAAGGCUUUCGGGUUGUAAACCUCUGUCAGAAAGGAAGAACCUCCCAAGUCCGAAUAGGGCUUGGGACUGACGGUACUUUCAAAGGAAGCACCGGCUAACUCCGUGCCAGCAGCCGCGGUAAUACGGAGGGUGCAAGCGUUAAUCGGAAUCACUGGGCGUAAAGCGCGCGUAGGCCGCUUUGUAAGUCGGACGUGAAAGCCCUCGGCUCAACCGGGGAACUGCGUUCGAUACUGCGAGGCUUGAGUCCUGGAGAGGGUGGCGGAAUUCCGGGUGUAGGAGUGAAAUCCGUAGAUAUCCGGAGGAACACCGGUGGCGAAGGCGGCCACCUGGACAGGUACUGACGCUGAGGCGCGAAAGUGCGGGGAGCAAACAG